rnacentral:ncRNA from 1 species
UGUCUUCGGGGCGGGGUGCAAUUCCCCACCGGCGGUAAUGGAGCAAAGCGCUCUGAGCCCGCGAGCCGAUGGCGAAAGCUGUCAGGCCGAUUCCGGUGCGAUCCCGGAGCCGACGGUCACAGUCCGGAUGAAAGAAG